UCGUGUGCUCGAUGUCUACGUGUGUUACUUGUACAGAGCAGGACACCAAAGACUAUUGGAUUCUACUAAGCGAUACGUCACAGAGAAGCUGCUGAUAGAGGGAGGGAAGCCUCAGAGGAAGCCACCCACCUCCGUGCUUUCCCUGACUCUGCCAUGUGCCCGGUGUUCACCUGCUUCUUGGUUCUUUGCCUCCUGGCCGCAGGUUCUGGUGGUGAAGAAGUCACCCAGACUCCAGGACAUCUGCUCAGAGGGAAGGGACAGAAAGUGAAAAUGUAUUGUGUCCCAGUAGAAGGACACCGUUAUGUUUUCUGGUAUCAACAGAUCCUGGAAAAGGAGUUCAAAUUCUUGAUUUCCUUCCAGGAUAAAGAGGUCUAUGAAGAAACAGAGAUGCUUAAGCAGAGGUUUUCAGCUGAGUGCCUCCAAAACUCAUCCUGUAGCCUGGAGAUCCACACUGCAGAGCUGCAGGAUUCAGCUGUGUAUCUUUGUGCCAGCAGCAAAGCCACAGUGUGAAACAUUAGCUAAUCUUAGUGCACAAACUCAUCAUGGACCCAGCUCAGGAAGCAGGGGGCAUAGUGGGUUGGAAGGAAAUAGCAGAAGCUAAAUAGAGCUAGCCUAAGCCAAAGAGUAAGUUAGUGGUUACAUCUGCUCUUGUCUCAGUACGUGCUGAACCCAGUUGUCUU